CAUGAGGAGCCCUGACCCUAAGUGCCCGGCAGCUUGCAUCACACCGCACGAAGGCUGUCAUCACAAACCACACAGGCUGCCAGCCCUCCAGGUGCCCAGAGCCACGGGGACAAAUGUGCAAGCCCCUGACUGCAGUUGCAAGAAGAGUGACUGGGAGCUCAACAGCAUGAGACCAUAGAACAACUGAUCCAGACCGGGAGGGCGAAGGGCCUCGGGGUGUACUGAUUGCUCCUCGAAGCGUGAAGAGAUAUUCCGAGUAGAAAACAGGCGAUCAGUGCAGUGUCUUAGAAGACCCAAAGUGCCCUGCAGGGAAAGUGAGGCUGAUGGAGCGGCGUGGUGCAGCUCCUGUGGGUGAUGGACGUGGACACCAACCUAUGAAGACUGGACCUGAUCCCAGAGGCGACAGGCACAGAGCACAGCAUUCUGGAGAGUAGACAGGAGGGGUCCCACCAGUUGUCUCUAAGCGCUGUUGUCUGGGUUUGUGCCUCUAAAGUGCAGGUUGAAGCUUAAAAUCACACAUAACUGUGUGGAGUGGGGACUUCAGGAGGUAAUUAGCAUAGACGGGAGUGUAUGGAUGGCCCUCAUGACUGCACUGAUGCUUUCGCAGAAGAGGAAAGAGUGUUAAGCAGCAAGCCUGUUCCAUCUUGCCAUGGGAUGCCCUGUACCACCAGCUAGAAGGCUUUCUCUAGAAGUAGCUCCUCAACUUUGGACCUUCCUCCCCCAAACCAAGAGCUGAAUGAACUGUUCUUUGUAAUUUUCUCGGUGUGUGGUAUUUGGUUAUAGCAACUGAAAAUGGGCUACAACAGUAACUGUAGAUGCAGCAUUUAGGAGAGGCCAGGGACAGCUGAGGGAAGUUUAUGUGAGAAGCCAUCGCGUCCGAGUAUGGAGAAGGGAGGCUGCGUGGAACCAGGCCAAGUGGGCAGCAGGAGCAAAGCCAUCCUAAAGACACCAAGGCUGGGGGGCCUGGCAGAUAGAGAGGGAAACAAGAGGGACAGGAAUGAUGCCAUGUUGGAGCAAGGACGUGAUGUGUUAAGUUCGAGGGGUCUAUGAGAUCAUCUAAUGGGAAACUGGAAAUAAGCAUCUGAAGUCAAGAGUGAGAUUAGGGCUGGAGAUCACAGAGAGAGAGAGAGAGAGAGAGAGAGAGAGAGAGAGAGAGAGAGAGACAGAGACAGAGACAGAGACAGAGACAGAGAGACAAAGCCAGGGCAAAGAUAAUACAUGAAAAUAACACGAACAGAGUUAAGGAUGGAAGUGGAAGCUUUCCGUCACAGGAGGAUCAGACUCCUGGACAGAGUCAAGGAAGGAUGGGGUGUCUCAGAGGGAGGUAGGGAGGACACAGGAAGAGGACGGCUUGGAGACGCCAAGGUGGGUGGAUACCAAAACAGAUCAGUGUGUGUCUGUGUGGCAACCAGGCGGGGAGCGGGGGAACAGGAGGAUGAGGAUCAAGGGUAUGAUUUGGGCCAUGCUCUUUUAUGCUUUCAUAAUGCCCUCUCCGGGACCUUGCACUAUGGUGGCCAUUCUUUGGAUCACUCAAUCACUAUUAAUAAUGUCUCUAGGUACCAGGCAUCCUCCUAGGUCUGGGGAUUCAGGAGUACACAAAACUCCUGGCUCAUGGAACUCACAUCCUAAUGAGAAACAGAUAUAAACAAGAGACAUCUAGAUUAACAGGGUAAUUUCAUGAUGUGAUUCAGAAAUAAGAGUCACGGGUAUUGUGUACUCAAGUUCGCCUAUUGUUAUCAUUUUGCUGCAUUUGCAGUACCCUGUGUUUCUGCGGUAUGUACAUAUAUUUCUAAAGCACCUCAAUAUAAAUUUCAUAUAUCGCUUUUUCUUUUUCUUUUCUUUUCUUUUUUUUUUUUUGAGACAGGUCCUUACUAUGUAGCCUGAGAGAGGAGCCAUAUGGACUGCAACUGGCAAGGCUAUGGGCAGGGCUGCCUAAGUCCUUCAGAGCUUGUGUCUCACCAGCAAUGUCCUGGGUGCUGGACAGGGGACUUCAUGUUAGCCUUCCUGGGUUGUGGUUUUGCUUUGGCCCAAUUCCUUUCUAUCCCCCACACUCUUCCCUGUUAGAAUAGGAAUUCUCACCCUGUGCAUUGUAUGUCUGGAAUAUUUAACUUUUUUUAUUUUUAUAGGGACUCACAGCUCAAAGUUUGCCCUGAGUCUCCUAAGAGACUUUGGACUUGAACUUUCUCAUAAUGCUAGAAUUGCUGGCACUUUGGCACUUCUAAUGAGAUGGACAUGAAUGUUUUGCAGGUUAGGGGAAAAGUGUUGUGUUUAGAUCUAAAAUGUCUCCCAAGUCUCAUGUGUUCAAAAAUGGGACUGUUGGAGGGUGAUUGGAUCAUGGGGUACUAUAAUUAUAACAGAUUCAUGCACUGAUGCGUCCAUAGCUGAACGUGCUGUGAGGAGGCCUGUAGGGCCUGGCUGAAGCUGGGUCAUUGAGGGAGUCACCUGAAAGGUGUAUUUUUGUUCCCAGCUCCUCCUUUCUCUCUCUCUCUCUCUCUCUCUGCUUCCUGGCUACUAUGGCUUGGGCAUCUCUCCUCCAGAUGGCCUUCCAGCACGCCAUCUCUGCCUUGAAGCCCAUCAUCCACUGUUAUGGUUUAUGUCCACAGCCCCCAAGCCUCAUGCAAUUAUGUGUUUGUGAUUGGUUCAUUGUCUAGCGCUUGGAUUUGUGGUGUGAAUGCUACACCCGCCCAGGGGUGGAGCCAGGAUAUGAUGUACUUGCUGGAAGAAGGCAGGUCUGUCUCUCUUUUGGCAGUUUCUGCCUUGCUGUUGCAGCCACCAUGAACUGCGGCCCCACCAUGCCACCCUGCCUUGGAGCCAACUGAGUAUGGACUGAAACCUCCAAGAACUGUUAUAAGCACAUCUUUCCUUCUGAGAGGGAGGCAGGGUGUGGCCAAGCUGCUAGCUAAGGGAAAUAAAUGGUACCUGUCAAUGACAAGAUCCCAGGACAGCCAGCACCAGGUCACGGUGGUCUUCUCCACAGACUCCAUCAGCUUGAACUGCAGGACCUUGUGGUGGUCGAGGUUGAGCAGCAGCUCCUCACAGUAAAACGGGAUCCCGCAGCUCCCCUCCACCAGGGUCUCACUAUGUAGCCCAGCCCACGUUGGUCUCGAAUUCAUGGUGAUCCUCCUGCCUCAGCCUCCCAAGUGCUGGGAUUAUAGAAGCAAGACAAUCUCAUUAGAAUGAGAGGAUGCAGGUUCACAUAGGAAAGAUUGUAAACCACCAGCUAAAGAGGAGACAUUGGCCAAGGGUGGACCGUGCCUGUGUCCCAGGUACUCAGUGGGCUAGGACAAGAGGAUGGAAAGGGGAGUCCCGCCAGGUGCAGUGGGGCAUGCCCACCCCGGACAAUUUAGCAACUCAACUAGAUCCUGUCUCCAAACAAUGGACAGUAAAAUGUCUGAGGAUGCACUUCGGAGUGUGAGAAGGUGUGACACCAUCCAACAUGGAAAAGUGAGCGGUCCCUGGCUGGCCAGCGGCCGCAGACAGCAGACACGGGGAUGCAGGCAGGACACAGGCGCCUCACGGCUCAUCCAAGGAUCUGACGGUGGGAGCGUGGAGAAACACCGAGCUACUCACAUGUCCAGC